AUUCCCUCCCUUUUUUUUAAUCAAGAAGAAGCUGAGCCUCCUCUCCUGUUCAUGGACAAGGACAGUGAGCUUCCAUCGAAUUGAAGGUCUUUCUGUUUCAGUCGGUUGGAAUCUGGUUCUAAGUAUGAACCAUCACAUUUAAUCUGGAAGAGGGAGCAGAGAUGUCCCGCAUUUAAAGUUCUCACCAACACGCACAGACAUGGAAUCUGGAGGACCAUCAAUUAGGGAUCUGGAUCUUGUGUGAGGCCUAGAACUUCUUUCUGGAUUCCUCCUUGGAGCACUUC